GUGCUCACUUCAGCAGCACAUAUACUAAAAUUGAAAUGAUACAGAGGACUUUAGCAUGACCCCUGUGCAAGGAUGACAUGCAAAUUUUUGAAGUGUUCCAUAUUUUA
ensembl:snRNA U6 U6 spliceosomal RNA